rnacentral:sRNA from 12 species
CCGCCUCCGGCGACAAGGUGGCCGAUUGUGGCUGCUUUCCCUGAACAGGGGAUAGCCGGGGGUGUUUUA